rnacentral:rRNA from 1 species
ACGGAGGGUGCGAGCGUUAAUCGGAAUUACUGGGCGUAAAGCGCGCGUAGGCGGUUUGUUAAGUCGGAUGUGAAAUCCCCGGGCUCAACCUGGGAAUGGCAUUCGAUACUGGCCGACUAGAGUACGAGAGAGGGAGGUAGAAUUCCACGUGUAGCGGUGAAAUGCGUAGAUAUGUGGAGGAAUACCGGUGGCGAAGGCGGCCUCCUGGCUCGAUACUGACGCUGAGGUGCGAAAGCGUGGGUAGCAAACAGGAUUAGAUACCCUGGUAGUCCACGCCGUAAACGAUGUCUACUAGCCGUUGGGAGACUUGAUUUCUUAGUGGCGCAGCUAACGCACUAAGUAGACCGCCUGGGGAGUACGGCCGCAAGGUUA